UGCCUAACACAUGCAAGUCGAACGGGAAACCUUUUAUUGAAGCUUCGGCAGAUUUAGCUGGUUUCUAGUGGCGGACGGGUGAGUAACGCGUGGGUAACCUGCCCUAUACAGGGGGAUAACAACCAGAAAUGGUUGCUAAUACCGCAUAAGCGCACAGGACCGCAUGGUCCGGUGUGAAAAACUCCGGUGGUAUAGGAUGGACCCGCGUUGGAUUAGCCAGUUGGCAGGGUAACGGCCUACCAAAGCGACGAUCCAUAGCCGGCCUGAGAGGGUGAACGGCCACAUUGGGACUGAGACACGGCCCAGACUCCUACGGGAGGCAGCAGUGGGGAAUAUUGCACAAUGGGGGAAACCCUGAUGCAGCGACGCCGCGUGAAGGAAGAAGUAUCUCGGUAUGUAAACUUCUAUCAGCAGGGAAGAUAGUGACGGUACCUGACUAAGAAGCCCCGGCUAACUACGUGCCAGCAGCCGCGGUAAUACGUAGGGGGCAAGCGUUAUCCGGAUUUACUGGGUGUAAAGGGAGCGUAGACGGAUUAGCAAGUCUGAUGUGAAAGGCAGGGGCUCAACCCCUGGACUGCAUUGGAAACUGCCAGUCUUGAGUGCCGGAGAGGUAAGCGGAAUUCCUAGUGUAGCGGUGAAAUGCGUAGAUAUUAGGAGGAACACCAGUGGCGAAGGCGGCUUACU
rnacentral:rRNA from 1 species